rnacentral:rRNA from 1 species
AUUGAACGCUGGCGGCAGGCCUAACACAUGCAAGUCGAGCGAGCGGCGGACGGGUGAGUAAUGUAUGGGGAUCUGCCCGAUAGAGGGGGAUAACUACUGGAAACGGUGGCUAAUACCGCAUACUAUCGGAUGAACCCAUAUGGGAUUAGCUAGUAGGUGGGGUAAAGGCUCACCUAGGCGACGAUCCCUAGCUGGUCUGAGAGGAUGAUCAGCCAAACGGGAAUGGAUACACGGAACAGACUCCUAGGGGAGGAAGAAGGGGGGAAUAUUGCACAAGGGGCGCAAGCCUGAAGGAGCAAUGCCGCGUGUAUGAAGAAGGCCUUCGGGUUGUAAAGUACUUUCAGCGGGGAGGCGUUACCCAAAGAAGAAGCACCGGCUAACUCCGUGCCAGCCGCGGCGGUAAGUC